rnacentral:rRNA from 1 species
UACAGAGGGGGCAAGCGUUGUUCGGAAUUACUGGGCGUAAAGGGCGCGUAGGCGGCCUGCUAAGUCGAACGUGAAAUCCCCGGGCUCAACCCGGGAACUGCGUCCGAUACUGGCAGGCUUGAAUCCGGGAGAGGGAUGUGGAAUUCCAGGUGUAGCGGUGAAAUGCGUAGAUAUCUGGAGGAACACCGGUGGCGAAGGCGGCAUCCUGGACCAGUAUUGACGCUGAUGCGCGAAAGCCAGGGGAGCAAACGGG